UUUAUCUCUACAUUUGCAAAAUUCUACGUGUCAUUCUCAAAUUCUCCCUCUCAGAUUUCCUAUUCUCACUUUUGUUCAAGAUAGCAAAACUCUUCACCUUUCUCUCAACCAAAAUGCCUCUACCUUUUAUCAAGAACAUCAAGAAAUUCAUCCUACCUUUAUCUUCCAAAUCCAUAAUCAAUCACACAUACAACACAAAAUACCAAGAACUUCAAACAUUUUUUCCAAAAAAUCAAGAAGCUCUUAAAAAGUUAAUCCAAAACUCAUAUUUUGUUCAACCUUCAGCACUCCAAAUACAUAACCCAUAACCUUCUCCAAAAACGCAUCCAAAUCACAGAGUUUGUUAAACGGUCAUCUCACCUCCAUCGCUCAAAAAACAUAGCCCAAAAAUUCAUCAACAAUCUUCUUAUCCAUCAUUCACAGAACAAUGAAACAAUCCCUUAUUUCAAUCACCUCUCUAAUCAACAAUAAAUUUUCAGAAAACCCAGUAAACCCAGUACUUAUUUAUACAUCCAUAUCUUCUUCAUCUUCUCAACCACCUAAAUCUGCAAAACUCAUCCACCCUUACCCAGAAACUCAUCAAAACUACUUCUCUAAAUACAUCAAAACCAAUCAAAAUCCUUUUUUUCUCCGAUCUUCCUUCUUCUCAAAACCAACCUUCUCAGAAAACCCUAAAUUUGCAGAAAACCCUAAACUCUCAACAUAGACAAAACUUAAUCAUCUCUGUUUUAUAUUUUUAAAAUCCUGUUUUAUAUUUUUAAACGCAAAGACAAAUCUUAACACAUAAAGUUUGAAGAUGACUGAAAUAGAAACAGAGGUUGAAGAGGACUGAGAUAGAAGAAAGAGAGGUUGAGGUAGAAAAAAUAGAGGUUGAGUUUGAGGAAAGCAAAUUGUAGUUGUUAUUAUUAGGUUACAACAUGUUUUGAGGUAGAAGAAGAGAGAGAGGGAAGUCUGAAUAUAGCUUUAGUAGGGGAAGAAAAAAUAGCCUUUUGAAAGAAAUGUUUUUUUAAUCUCAAAAGUAGCAGCAUGCAUUAGAAGAUUGGAAUGUUGGAAGAGUUUAAAGCUGAAGCUGGUAGCAGAAUAUCCCACGUGGCAUCACAAAAUAGCAGCAGGGGCAAUUUGCAACUUUCCAGACCAUCUUAUUUUCUUAUAUUGUAGAUGAGAUAGUAUCAUUAUCUUCUUUUCAUUCCUAGUGCAUUCGAGAAAGAACUUCUUGGUUUUAAAGAUUUUUUCUCUAUACACGUGGCAAGAGACUAACAUAGCCACAUGUAAAUAACAAACACCUCUCCAGGAAAUUCCAGAAAAUCCCUCAUAACUCUUCUUCUUACUACUUAGUACUACUAAUAUCCUUUGUUUCUUCAAUACUCCAACCAAUCCAAAAGACAACAAACCAGAAAACAACAACAUUAUGAUGCAUCUAAAACUAGCAGCAAAUGUAACAAGAAAAUCAUGCCUAACCUUCUCUUCAGCAUGUCUGAAACGUGGAUUCUCCACUCGUAGCCACACCGCUGACCCAGAUAUUCAUUCUGGACAACAAAAACCCGGUUACACCAAUUCCAGAAUUUCACCUCAAGGUACAAGUAGAGGUGAUACUGACACAAAUCCAAAGUUUACUGAAACAGAAAAAGGAGAAGGAGUUUUUCACCGUCUCCAUCGAGCAGCCGUUAUGCUUCGGCUGUAGGAUUGAACGAACUCGUGUCGAGUGACGAGGAGAAUGAUAGGCCAGACAUGAUUAAAGAGGAGUGCGAUGAAAAUGGGGACGAGAAGAUUGAUUCUAAAGCUGAAGAUUUUAUUGCUCAAUUUUAUCAUCAAAUGAGAUUGCAACGUUUCAAUAAUGUGGAUCGUGAUUAUCAAGAGCGAAGUGAAAGGUCAUUAGGAUGGUGAUGUUCUUGUUGUGCUCAUGUCUUUGUAUUGAAUCAUAAUCAUAAAUAAUCAUAAUAUCAAAUAAAUAAAUAAAUAAAUAACAAGAACAUUACAUUGA